CCGCAAUAAACCGUCCGUGACGAAUCAAUAAUGCUAAGUGUUUGAAGUUGGCUAGCAAUAGCUGAUGGAGCGCACGACCCAAGUUGGUAGUAGUCAAGCAAUGGAGAGACGCAGGAAGGUAGUCCAACCCAGGCGAUGGUUGACCUGGGGUAAGAGUGUAGGAGGUUCUGUAGGCAAAUCCGCAGAACAAUCUCUGAGACUUAAUGCCGAGCCGUAAGGCGAAGUGGAUGAUCCUAUGCUGCCAAGAAAAUCUUCUAGCGAGGUUUGUAGCGGCCCGUACCCGAAACCGACUCAGGUGGUCAGGUAGAGAAUACCAAGGUGAUCGAGAGAAUCGUGGUUAAGGAACUCGGCAAAAUGCCCCCGUAACUUCGGGAGAAGGGGGGCCCUUCGACGUGUAGGAAUUUACUUCCGAAGCGUUGGAAGGCCGCAGAGACCAGGCUCAAGCGACUGUUUACCAAAAACACAGGUCCGUGCGAAGUAGCAAUACGAUGUAUACGGACUGACGCCUGCCCGGUGCUGGAAGGUUAAGGGGACUGGUUAGCCGCAAGGCGAAGCUGAGAACUUAAGCCCCAGUAAACGGCGGUGGUAACUAUAACCAUCCUAAGGUAGCGAAAUUCCUUGUCGGGUAAGUUCCGACCUGCACGAAUGGCGUAACGACUUGAGCGCUGUCUCAUCCGUGAACUCGGCGAAAUUGCAUUACGAGUAAAGAUGCUCGUUACGCGCAGAAAGACGGAAAGACCCCGGGACCUUUACUAUAUCUUGAUAUUGGUACUCGGAACGUUCUGUGUAGCAUAGGUGGGAGACUUUGAAGCGGCACGCCAGUGUUCGUGGAGUCAAAAAAUGAAAUACCACUCUGAACGUUUUGAGUUUCUAACCUCGGCCCAUUAUCUGGGUCAGGGACAGUGUCUGGUGGGUAGUUUAACUGGGGCGGUUGCCUCCUAAAAAGUAACGGAGGCGCCCAAAGGUUCCCUCAGCCUGGUUGGCAAUCAGGUGUCGAGUGCAAGUGCACAAGGGAGCUUGACUGUGAGACAGACAUGUCGAGCAGGGACGAAAGUCGGAACUAGUGAUCCGGCGGUGGCAUGUGGAAGCGCCGUCGCUCAACGGAUAAAAGGUACCCCGGGGAUAACAGGCUGAUCUUCCCCAAGAGUCCAUAUCGACGGGAUGGUUUGGCACCUCGAUGUCGGCUCGUCGCAUCCUGGGGCUGGAGUAGGUCCCAAGGGUUGGGCUGUUCGCCCAUUAAAGCGGUACGCGAGCUGGGUUUAGAACGUCGUGAGACAGUUCGGUCCCUAUCCGCCACGCGCGCAGGAGUCUUGAGGAGGGCUAUCCCUAGUACGAGAGGACCGGGAUGGACGAACCUCUGGUGUGUCAGUUGUCCUGCCAAGGGCACGGCUGGUUGGCUACGUUCGGAAGUGAUAACCGCUGAAAGCAUCUAAGC
rnacentral:rRNA from 1 species